UGGCUGAGUGGUAAAGUGCUUGGCUUCCAAACCAAGGUUUCCGGGCUCGAAUCCUGG
rnacentral:tRNA from 1 species